rnacentral:rRNA from 1 species
UAGGGAAUAUUGCACAAUGGAGGAAACUCUGAUGCAGCGACGCCGCGUGAGUGAUGAAGGCCCUCGGGUUGUAAAGCUCUGUGAUAGGGGAAGAUAAUGACGGUACCCUAUCAGAAAGGACCGGCUAACUUCGUGCCAGCAGCCGCGGUAAUACGAGGGGUCCAAGCGUUGUUCGGAAUUACUGGGCGUAAAGCGGGUGUAGGUGGCUUGGCAAGUCGGAUGUGAAAGCCCUGGGCUCAACCCAGGAAGUGCAUCCGAUACUGCCAAACUUGAGUACGGAAGAGGGAAGUGGAAUUCCAGGUGUAGUGGUGAAAUACGUAGAUAUCUGGAGGAACAUCGGCGGCGAAGGCGGCUUCCUGGUCCUGUACUGACACUCAGACCCGAAAGCGUGGGGAGCAAACAGGAUUAGAUACCCCCGUAGUCC